rnacentral:lncRNA from 1 species
AACACAACAAAAGUAGCUAGCCUUGUUCUACUCCUUUUCUGCCACAAUUACACCUCUCAAGAAAAACAAAAAAGCUCCCAUAAUCACUUAAACAAGCUUAAGCCACUAAUCUCUCCUAAUUACCAAAAAGAAAAAAUACAUAAUUUUUAGCUUCUUUUCUUCCCCAUUUUUCUCACUGUCACAGAGCACCACUGCAGCACCAAACCAAGCAGCUCAUCUUCCAGUCUUCCACACUUCCUACUCUCUCUCUCCUCGCGCAGGAGCACGCUUAUCGGAAUCGGGGCGCGCGGCGGCGAGAUCCGGGCAGCCGAAGGCGGGGCGCCGG